GGGUGGUUGACAAAAUUAUUUAGAAAAUCUUCAAGAUCAAGAUCAAUCAAGAUAUUAUAUCAAUGGAAGUUGAUAUAAAUAACGCUUUUCUAUUGGCCGUUAAACUUCCUCUCAGCUAUGGACUGUCUUUAUUGCAUUAUAAUUUAUUAAGCAAAAAAUUAGAGGAGGACCUCAAAACAUUUUUAUUAUUUUUAUUGGAAAAGCCUCUGAUUACAACAAUAUUUUUAUCAUUUUUUGUAGGCGGAAUUACUAUGAUUCUUUCAAUUUCGUUUUCAUUGUUUCUAUUAGUAUUUCUUCUAGUAGCAUACAUAAUUUUAUUUGAAGGUAUUAUCGUAAUACUUGUGUUUGCUAUAGCAAUUCAAAUGACGCUGAUAGCUUUUUCCACAAACAUUGUGAUCAAUUGCAUGAAAAAAUUGUUAAAUGAAAUUUUCAGAUAAAAUUUUAUAAGCGUCGUCAAUAUGUAAUAUACUUACCUAACUAAUGAAUGUGUACAUAGCUAAUUCGUAAAUUACUAAUAUUAGUUUUGAAUUUUGAUUAUAUAAUCAAAUUUUGAUUAUUAUAUAUUAAUUCAACGGUGAAUCAUUUUUUACCACAGCUCUAAACCUUAGAGCAUAGAAACUCUUUAGAAUUUAUAUAAUUGUUGCCAUUGUAAACAAUAAUUUAGUCCAAAA